UACGAAGGGGGCUAGCGUUGCUCGGAAUCACUGGGCGUAAAGCGCACGUAGGCGGAUCGUUAAGUGCCUUGUGAAAUCCCACGGCUCAACCGUGGAACUGCUUGGCAUACUGGCGGUCUUGAGCAACCUAGGGGCGAGCGGAACAAAUGGUGGAGCGGUGAAAUGCGUAGAUAUCAUUUGGAACGCCAAUGGUGAAAACAGCUCGCUGGGGGUUUGCUGACGCUGAGACACGAAAGCCAGGGGAGCAAACGGG
rnacentral:rRNA from 1 species